rnacentral:rRNA from 1 species
GGACUAGUGGUCAUGUCUAUAAUGCAGUCGAGCGAACAGACGAGGAGCUUGCUCCUUUGACGUUAGCGGCGGACGGGUGAGUAACACGUAGGUAACCUACCUAUAAGACUGGGAUAACUUCGGGAAACCGGAGCUAAUACCGGAUAAUAUUUCGAACCGCAUGGUUCGAUAGUGAAAGAUGGCUUUGCUAUCACUUAUAGAUGGACCUGCGCCGUAUUAGCUAGUUGGUAAGGUAACGGCUUACCAAGGCAACGAUACGUAGCCGACCUGAGAGGGUGAUCGGCCACACUGGAACUGAGACACGGUCCAGACUCCUACGGGAGGCAGCAGUAGGGAAUCUUCCGCAAUGGGCGAAAGCCUGACGGAGCAACGCCGCGUGAGUGAUGAAGGUCUUCGGAUCGUAAAACUCUGUUAUUAGGGAAGAACAAACGUGUAAGUAACUGUGCACGUCUUGACGGUACCUAAUCAGAAAGCCACGGCUAACUACGUGCCAGCAGCCGCGGUAAUACGUAGGUGGCAAGCGUUAUCCGGAAUUAUUGGGCGUAAAGCGCGCGUAGGCGGUUUUUUAAGUCUGAUGUGAAAGCCCACGGCUCAACCGUGGAGGGUCAUUGGAAACUGGAAAACUUGAGUGCAGAAGAGGAAAGUGGAAU